rnacentral:lncRNA from 1 species
CUGGGAUUUUGGUACCAGAAGCAUUAGGAUAUGGAAACUGGGUUAAAGCUCAGGAAUGGGCAGCAUUACCAGGGGGUCAAGCCACUUACUUGGGAAACCCUGUCCCGUGGGGUACUUUGCCCACAAUCUUGGCCAUUGAGUUCCUUGCUAUCGCAUUCGUCGAGCACCAGAGAAGUAUGGAGAAAGACCCUGAGAAAAAGAAGUACCCAGGAGGUGCAUUUGACCCCCUCGGAUACUCAAAGGACCCCAAGAAGUUGGAGGAAUUGAAGGUCAAGGAGAUCAAGAACGGUAAGCACACACAACAACGUACCAUUAUUCUGGAUCAACUUAUGUAGAAGAAAUGUGUAUCUAAUGUUAAUGUUUUCUUCUUGGUGGGUAUGACGACAGGGCGUCUAGCGUUGUUGGCGUUUGUGGGAUUCUGUGUGCAACAAUCAGCUUACCCGGGGACAGGACCAUUGGAGAAUCUUGCAACUCACUUGGCGGAUCCAUGGCACAACAACAUUGGCGAUAUUGUUAUCCCUUUGAACUAAUGAAUGUAAAAAUAGAAAUAUGUACCUUAUGAGCUUUGUGUGUAUCAAAACACUGUGUAAUGAAAGACAGAUUGUGGAAAACCUGUAUUUUGGCUUGGUGAUCGUCGAUUGCUCAUGUCAGCUUGAAUUCUAAAUGAUGAAGA